rnacentral:rRNA from 1 species
AUUGAACGCUGGCGGCAGGCCUAACACAUGCAAGUCGAACGGCAGCACAGAAGAGCUUGCUCUUUGGGUGGCGAGUGGCGGACGGGUGAGUAAUGUCUGGGAAACUGCCCGAUGGAGGGGGAUAACUACUGGAAACGGUAGCUAAUACCGCAUAACGUCGCAAGACCAAAGUGGGGGACCUUCGGGCCUCACACCAUCGGAUGGGCCCAGAUGGGAUUAGCUAGUAGGGGGGGUAAUGGCUCACCUAGGCGACGAUCCCUAGCUGGUCUGAGAGGAUGACAAGCCACACUGGAACUGAGACACGGUCCAGACGCCUAAGGGAGGCAGCAGUGGGGAAUAUGGCACAAUGGGCGCAAGCCUGAUGCAGCCAUGCCGCGUGUAUGAAGAAGGCCUUCGGGUUGUAAAGUACUUUCAGCGGGGAGGAAGGCGGUGAGGUUAAUAACCUUGCCGAUUGACGUUACCCGCAGAAGAAGCACCGGCUAACUCCGUGCCAGCCGCCGCGGUAA